rnacentral:sRNA from 1 species
GGCAAUGUAUGAUAUUUUACUACCCAUGGAUGGACAUAUGACAGUUUAACUGGCCGUUUGACUUCCUCAACAAAGCCCACUGAUCUCACAAUGUCUAGCGACGUUGAUUCACAUUGUGUUUCCCAAAAUUAUAUCUUUACAUUUCCUAACUUACAGGCUACAUAAAUUACUUGAGCUCAGCCUAUAUCUAUAUAUAUGUAUGUGUUUGUGUGUGGAGUGGGGCAUAUUAGGUGGACAUCCUGUCUUCAAAGACGCAGCCGGAACGAUAGAAUCAUCCGUGAUUCUUCAGGGAGAUGCAUCGCCCUCUGGAUUUUCAUAUUGUGUUGUUGGAUAUACCAUUUCCACCAGUUUAAACCUAGUGGCUUGACAUAGGGGUUGAGGGUUGCACGAGAUACAGAGUUUCUCGUCAAAUAACAAGUACAAGUGGGUCUUUUGCCUGCAUUUUUCACCAUACAAAAGGAUUGCUGGAUAUUGUUCUUCCGCUUAAUGGAUGUUUCGAUAUCGCCUCCCAGGUAAACGGUAACAAAUGUUGUUUAAAAACUUCCCCCUCGUUUCCAUGUACCACUGUGCGACAUUUGUUAAAUGGGAGAGCCUGGUGGGUUACAUCUUCUCUAGAAUCAUGCGUGGCAUAAUAAUCUUGCUGUUGCCAAUUCUGCUUUGUAUUUUGUUAUUCCAUCUUGAGACAUUUGUGAAAAGCCUCACGGGAUUAUCCUUAUCGGGA